rnacentral:tRNA from 1 species
GGGCGUCUUGGUGCUAAGGCGUGUGCACCGCCGGACUGUAAAUCCGGCCCCACGUGGCAAACAUUCCUGGUUCGACUCCAGGGACGCCCACCA